GAGGACGAGCGUGGUCACAGAAGCUGGUCUGAGAUGUUCGAAAGGAGGUUGUCCGUGAUGUAUUUGCUUUGUUUAUGGCAGAUAUUGCACGGUUGAUCUCUUUUCAUCAUCAAAUGCCUUCUUGAAGGACCCGCGGCACGU